GGGAGAGGCUUGCCGCAACAAAGGUCGCUACCCUUCGCUUACUUCGGUUGAACUCCGAUGCUCUCUCG
rnacentral:tRNA from 1 species